rnacentral:sRNA from 1 species
AAACACCAAGGCCAAAAAAAAUAGAUGCAAACGACGAGGCAGAUACGUCAACAGCAGCAACACCAGCAACAAAUGGUGUUCAUUUUGAA